rnacentral:rRNA from 1 species
UAGGGAAUCUUCCACAAUGGACGCAAGUCUGAUGGAGCAACGCCGCGUGAGUGAAGAAGGCUUUCGGGUCGUAAAACUCUGUUGUUGGAGAAGAAUGGUCGGCAGAGUAACUGUUGUCGGCGUGACGGUAUCCAACCAGAAAGCCACGGCUAACUACGUGCCAGCAGCCGCGGUAAUACGUAGGUGGCAAGCGUUAUCCGGAUUUAUUGGGCGUAAAGCGAGCGCAGGCGGUUUUUUAAGUCUGAUGUGAAAGCCCUCGGCUUAACCGAGGAAGUGCAUCGGAAACUGGGAAACUUGAGUGCAGAAGAGGACAGUGGAACUCCAUGUGUAGCGGUGAAAUGCGUAGAUAUAUGGAAGAACACCAGUGGCGAAGGCGGCUGUCUGGUCUGUAACUGACGCUGAGGCUCGAAAGCAUGGGUAGCGAACAGGAUUAGAUACCCUGGUAGUCCAUGCCGUAAACGAUGAAUGCUAGGUG